AAUUGUUGCACACUACCCACAACUUUUCAGUUUCCCCCUCGUCUCCCGGACUCCCCCUUCCUCUCUUGAUUUCUCAAACCCUCCUUCCCCCCUCCAAAAUAAAGUCACCGUACCCUCGUACGUUAUCGCUGCCCAAUCGCCGGCGAGAGUCACCGCUUACCUUUCCCCGUACAAAGCUUUUAAUUGCGUACCAUAGGCGCGCCACUGCCCAAACAUGUCUCUGCCCAUGCGACUAGUCACCGGCGCCACUGCUCACCUCCGAAAGCCCUUCCCCGGCGGCGACGUUUCCCACGCUACUAGUCGCUGCCCUUGUUGCUCCACGUGAGUACUUUAUGGAGUGGGAGAGAAUAAGAAGGGUAUUGAAGCCAAUAUGCAAGUUCUAUAUGUGCAUAUGGAUAAAUAAUUUGAAGGAACACAUGAUGUUGUUGCGAAGAUGAAGUUAGCUAAGUAUUCUAAUGCGGAUGAGAAUGUGUGAUAAGGAGCUUCUAAGAAAAAACCUUAAGCGUUAGAUAAUUGUGUAGUCAUGUAGAACUUUUUUGUAUUUUCAUUUUAAUAUUGUAUACUUUGGUUUUAUGGAAAUUAUUAUAUAAGUUUUUUAUAUGAAUGUAUGUUUUGUAUUUAAAGUGAUUGUAAAA